rnacentral:rRNA from 1 species
UCGUCCUACGGGGGGCAGCAGUGGGGAAUAUUGGGCAAUGGGCGCAAGCCUGACCCAGCAACGCCGCGUGAAGGACGAAGGUGCCAAGCAUUGUAAACUUCUUUUGUCAAGGGACAAAAUCAGGCUCGAGAGCCUGACCGAGGGUACUUGAAGAAAAAGCAUCGGCUAACUCCGUGCCAGCAGCCGCGGUAAUACGGAGGAUGCGAGCGUUAUCCGGAUUUAUUGGGUUUAAAGGGUGCGUAGGCGGACUGUUAAGUCAGCGGUAAAAACCCGGGGCUCAACCCCGGCGAGCCGUUGAAACUGGC